GGAAGAAGACUGAUAGAAGACUGUGGCCAUGAUUUACUGCCUGAAGCAAAGUACUGCCAGCCAAGGAUCAUGCUGUUUGGACUAUCAGACAGGAAUUGAGGAGAGAGCUACAAUCAUUGUGGAAAAUAUUCGGAUAGUGCUUACAUGAUACAUGACCAAUAAUAAAGAAAGCAAAAUUC